rnacentral:rRNA from 1 species
GCUUGCUUGUUGGGGUUGUAGGACACUCUAUACGGAGUUACAAAGGACGACAUUAGACGAAUCAUCUGGAAAGAUGAAUCAAAGAAGGUAAUAAUCCUGUAGUCGAAAAUGUUGUCUCUCUUGAGUGGAUCCUGAGUACGACGGAGCACGUGAAAUUCCGUCGGAAUCUGGGAGGACCAUCUCCUAAGGCUAAAUACUCUCUAGUGACCGAUAGUGAACCAGUACCGUGAGGGAAAGGUGAAAAGCACCCCGGAAGGGGAGUGAAAUAGAACCUGAAACCGUGUGCUUACAAGUAGUCAGAGCCCGUUAAUGGGUGAUGGCGUGCCUUUUGUAGAAUGAACCGGCGAGUUACGAUUUGAUGCAAGGUUAAGCAGUAAAUGUGGAGCCGUAGCGAAAGCGAGUCUGAAUAGGGCGUUUAGUAUUUGGUCGUAGACCCGAAACCAGGUGAUCUACCCUUGGUCAGGUUGAAGUUCAGGUAACACUGAAUGGAGGACCGAACCGACUUACGUUGAAAAGUGAGCGGAUGAACUGAGGGUAGCGGAGAAAUUCCAAUCGAACCUGGAGAUAGCUGGUUCUCUCCGAAAUAGCUUUAGGGCUAGCCUCAAGUGAUGAUUAUUGGAGGUAGAGCACUGUUUGGACGAGGGGCCCCUCUCGGGUUACCGAAUUCAGACAAACUCCGAAUGCCAAUUAAUUUAACUUGGGAGUCAGAACAUGGGUGAUAAGGUCCGUGUUCGAAAGGGAAACAGCCCAGACCACCAGCUAAGGUCCCAAAAUAUAUGUUAAGUGGAAAAGGAUGUGGCGUUGCCCAGACAACUAGGAUGUUGGCUUAGAAGCAGCCAUCAUUUAAAGAGUGCGUAAUAGCUCACUAGUCGAGUGACACUGCGCCGAAAAUGUACCGGGGCUAAACAUAUUACCGAAGCUGUGGAUUGUCCUUUGGACAAUG